CAGCGGGACGCAGCGAUCUGCAGCGCUGCGCGUGCACGGCUCCGGCAGCGCGUGCCCGCCGCUUCCCGCCUUUUCGUUUCCCGCCUCAGAGCCUCGCGCGCAACAUGGCGCCGUGUGGAGCCGCGCAGCGUGAGGUGAUGGCGGGGCACGGCGCGGGCCGCGCUGUGUGUGGGGCUGUGAGCAACCCCCAGAUUUUAAAAACAAACUGAGGAUUCACUUCAGCGUCCACUGAAGCCACAAAGACGAGGUCAGCUGUCUCAAGCACCAGCUCCACGACUGCUCUCCAAGUUGGCAGCAAUCUGCUUCUCAGUUGGACAGGCUCAUUUGAAGCAGCAAACUUUGCCCGCGGAAAAUGUUCUUUGUAUCAGGGCGGCCUUUACAUUUAAAGACACCUUUUGAAUGCUUCUCCACAGUGGAUGAUACUGUGUGGUUGUUCCCUACUUCAGUACGAAAUCUGAGGGAAAAGAAGCAGCUCUCCCCAUUCCCAAGAAAGAUUUAUCGGACAGAGGUGACGUCUUUGACCCAGUUUUGUCCUGCCAGGGUCUCUCUGAACGCCUCCAUGAGCUGCAGAGGGAGAGGAGCACCGGUGUGUUCAGGUAUCUCUUUCUCUCCUCGCCACAGCCACGCUGCCCUUUUGGCUCUGGGAUGCUCACUGACGCCGUGCUGCCAGCUGGGCCUGGGGCAGCCGGGCACCCCAAGGUGCUGCAUCCCCCUGCACUGAGCUGGCUGGGACAGGGGGCCCUGGGGAGCCGGGGGCUGGCAGGGGCUGUGUGCCUCGCAGGGUGCCGGCGGCCCGCGGGCCUGGGGGCAGGGCGGCUGUCUAUUUUUAGUGAGGGUUUUAUAGAGUGGAUCCCUGCGGUCUGGCUCCACACUGAAAUAUUGUCCUAGUCUCAAUGACAUAAACACAGGGCCAGCCUGUGAUCCUGGCGCCAGCUUCAGCUUAGGGAAUGUGAAUGAAAGUACCAGUGGGGUCCAGGCAAGAAGGAGAAGAAAAAAAAUCCCGACUGUAAUUACAAAUAAAUCCCAAACCCUUUCGCUCUCAUGGCUCACUUAGUACAGCAAAUAGCCUCUGAUUCUCUACAAAUAAGACCCAGCUUAGUUACUGACAGAUCUACCAAGAGGCAGUUAAUGGAAUAAUGACUAAGGGAAGCUUAGGGUAAUUUACAAACGGUUGCCGGUGUUGGAGGGCGAUCGCCCCCACCUCACCCCCGCCCUGCUGCUGCAGCCCUAAGCUGCUGGGCAAGACCAAAGCCUCAGCACACAAGGGCUGCAGGAAGGCUGUGUGUUUAUUUGCUUAUUUAAGAGAUCUGACGUGGGAGGAUGACAGGCAAACUCCAGUACCGGGAGCUGAAUUGUGCCCCUGGAGUGAGGGACUGAGGUGAGGGUCUACAGAGCAAGGUUAUUCUUACCUUCUGUUCUGAUGAGAAAAGUGAGGAAAUCUUAAGUGAAAGUGGCGUAGAAAGCCAGCUCUGCCAUGAGAUUCUACCAAAGCAGCAGUGUGGCUUGUUCUGUCACAAAGGUACGUCUCUUCGAAUCACUUGUGCAAACUGAUAACCUAAUAUUUGAGGUGAAGUCCUCGGUGUACUUAAAAAAUUGAUUUUCAUGUUCAGAUUAUGGGGAGCUCUUGUGAAACUCCUGCUGUGGUCAUGGCAAUUAUGGUUUUUGUUUGGUUUUGAUCUUUUUGUAAAGAAAAACACAACACUACUCCAAAAACUCAUUAAUUUAUCAAGAACGGGAAUAACAGGAACAGUGUUCCACGUGGGAAGCAAUUGCACACACGUACACACACACGUACAGAUGUGUGCACAGAAUGAAUCCAGGUAACGGUUAAAGGAUGCUCCUUUGGGUCUGGCAUCUUACUGAUGUGUUUAUUAUGAAAACAAGUACUUUAGAAGUUGAUGUGACUUCAGAAGGGAUGCUGAGCAUCAGGGUGUUCUGUUUGGUGCCAUUACUUCAGUCUUGCUUGAAAGAAAAUGAUCUUAAGACCAAGGUAUACAUGUGAAAUCCAGCUGAUUGUUAGUCCUGGGAUGGGUGCU